rnacentral:lncRNA from 1 species
GUAUCAUUUGCGCCAAUUUUCGGAACUCAUUUGCGCCAAUUUACCUGUACACAUAUCUAUCUAUAUAUUCUUAUUUUUGCUUAAAAAAUAUCUUAUUUGUUCGAAGAUAUUUCAUCAUCCGUAUGGACUGAAACUCUAUCUACUGCAAGAUGUCUCAGUAAUAGAGCGGAUGCAUUCCACAGUAAUUAUCAGUAUAAACUGUUUUAUGCAUAUCAUCCGGCCUUUAAUGAUCGUCUUUUUGGACAAUAAAUGGAAGUUACACGCUACUACAUACAUUAAAUUUGAAGUACCCAUGCAGCAGCAGUAAGAAGAAAGCAUUUUUCAAAAAAGUAAACAUUUGCCAUGUAAACUUCCGAAAUUGUAUGUUUUAUUUUUGGCGCAAAUGAUACCAUGUAAUUUUAAAACAGGUGGCGCAAACG